rnacentral:RNase_P_RNA from 3 species
UGAGUCGGCCAGGCGGUCGCGUCGGUGGGCAACCACCGCCGAGGAACGUCCGGGCUCCACAGGGCAAGGUGGUGGGCAACACCCACCCGGGGUGACCCGCGGGACAGUGCCACAGAGAACAGACCGCCGGUGCCUUGCGCACCGGUAAGGGUGAAACGGUGGUGUAAGAGACCACCAGCGAUCCGGGUGACCGGAUCGGCUCGGUAAACCCCACCCGGAGCAAGCUCAGACAGGAUGCGUCUUCAGGGCGGCCCGCCCGAGCAUCCGGGUAGAGCGCUGGAGGGCGUCGGCAACGGCGCUCGUAGAUGGAUGACCGUCGCUUCGUCACCGGUAACGGUGGGGGAGAACAGAACCCGGCGUAUCGGCCGACUCAUCCC